rnacentral:rRNA from 1 species
CAUAGGUUAAUGAGGCGAACCGGGGGAACUGAAACAUCUAAGUACCCCGAGGAAAAGAAAUCAACCGAGAUUCCCCCAGUAGCGGCGAGCGAACGGGGAGGAGCCCAGAGCCUGAAUCAGUGUGUGUGUUAGUGGAAGCGUCUGGAAAGGCGCGCGAUACAGGGUGACAGCCCCGUACACAAAAAUGCACAUGCUGUGAGCUCGAUGAGUAGGGCGGGACACGUGGUAUCCUGUCUGAAUAUGGGGGGACCAUCCUCCAAGGCUAAAUACUCCUGACUGACCGAUAGUGAACCAGUACCGUGAGGGAAAGGCGAAAAGAACCCCGGCGAGGGGAGUGAAAAAGAACCUGAAACCGUGUACGUACAAGCAGUGGGAGCCUCUUAAUGGGGUGACUGCGUACCUUUUGUAUAAUGGGUCAGCGACUUAUAUUCUGUAGCAAGGUUAACCGAAUAGGGGAGCCGAAGGGAAACCGAGUCUUAACUGGGCGUUAAGUUGCAGGGUAUAGACCCGAAACCCGGUGAUCUAGCCAUGGGCAGGUUGAAGGUUGGGUAACACUAACUGGAGGACCGAACCGACUAAUGUUGAAAAAUUAGCGGAUGACUUGUGGCUGGGGGUGAAAGGCCAAUCAAACCGGGAGAUAGCUGGUUCUCCCCGAAAGCUAUUUAGGUAGCGCCUCGUGAAUUCAUCUCCGGGGGUAGAGCACUGUUUCGGCAAGGGGGUCAUCCCGACUUACCAACCCGAUGCAAACUGCGAAUACCGGAGAAUGUUAUCACGGGAGACACACGGCGGGUGCUAACGUCCGUCGUGAAGAGGGAAACAACCCAGACCGCCAGCUAAGGUCCCAAAGUCAUGGUUAAGUGGGAAACGAUGUGGGAAGGCCCAGACAGCCAGGAUGUUGGCUUAGAAGCAGCCAUCAUUUAAAGAAAGCGUAAUAGCUCACUGGUCGAGUCGGCCUGCGCGGAAGAUGUAACGGGGCUAAACCAUGCACCGAAGCUGCGGCAGCGACACUAUGUGUUGUUGGGUAGGGGAGCGUUCUGUAAGCCUGUGAAGGUGGCCUGUGAGGGUUGCUGGAGGUAUCAGAAGUGCGAAUGCUGACAUAAGUAACGAUAAAGCGGGUGAAAAGCCCGCUCGCCGGAAGACCAAGGGUUCCUGUCCAACGUUAAUCGGGGCAGGGUGAGUCGACCCCUAAGGCGAGGCCGAAAGGCGUAGUCGAUGGGAAACAGGUUAAUAUUCCUGUACUUGGUGUUACUGCGAAGGGGGGACGGAGAAGGCUAUGUUGGCCGGGCGACGGUUGUCCCGGUUUAAGCGUGUAGGCUGGUUUUCCAGGCAAAUCCGGAAAACCAAGGCUGAGGCGUGAUGACGAGGCACUACGGUGCUGAAGUGACAAA